CUUAGCUGGCAACGAAAAAAAAAAAACCCUAAGGCUCGAGGGAAAAAAAGAAAGAAAAAGAAAACCCUAGAGGCUCCUCCAGCUCCCUCACGCCGCCUCGAGCACCUUCCGAUGGACUCCCUCAGCUUGACUCUGAUCGAAACGAACCCUCAGCUCAGUCUUCUCUCCCUCUCAACGGACCGGAGCUUUGGUUUUCCCGGAGUCUCUCUCCUUCUCGCGGCCAGGACAACACAGACCGCCAGUGCUCCUCCCUUGCACCCACCGAGUUACUGCCCUACUCGACUUCAGUCUUUGUCGCCACUGCCCUGAAACCUUCAGCUGCCUCUCACUCUUCUCUCUCAACACCGUCGACUUCUUCUCGAGAGCUAAGUUUUCUUCCCGUUCCCUCUAUACUCUGGGCAGCAUUGGGUUGUAGCCUUAAGAGAUUUGUUUUAAUCAUCUUUACCUCACGAAAUGAAUUGCCUUCAUGUCUAGAUGUUUUAAGGACACCUUCCCUUUGCUUCUCAUGUCGUUUUGAUCUCGUUAAAGUAGAUUUCGUGUACUUACUGUGACACCCGAGUGCAUGGCUGAGAUGCAAGUUAAAGUUUUCUACUCGAUUUAUGGUCAUUGCAUUUGAUUUUGUUGGGAUGAGAUGGUACUAGAACUACGGACUGAGUAGAGUGAUGAUUCAUGGGUCAAUAUUAGCAUGUUUGGCAUGAUUUUGAUGAUUCAAUGUUGCAUGUAAGUAUGUGGCUGAGUUACAUGCUGACACUUCGAUUGAUUUUGGGUCAAUCCAUACGAUCUUGAUGACUCCAGAACAUAUAUCUCAUGUAAGCUGAGUUGUGUGCAUUCUCUUGAUCACUUUGAGUAUGUUUGACAUGGUUUUGAUGAGAACGCGUUACGUUUAAUGUAUGGGCUGAGCUGAUUGGCCGCAUUUGAGGGAUCAGAGCGCAUUUCUUUGAUCUUGUUAAUCCAAGAAUAUGUCCAAUAUAAGAGCUUAUUUGUGUAGCUGUUAUUUUCUUCGAUUUAGGAUUUUUUUGCAUGAGUUUGAUGACGCCCGAAUGUGUAGCUCAAUGGGAUGUGCUAAGCGGUGAUAUUUCCUUGAAUGCAGAGAAUGAAUGACACGAAGAAUGGCCGAGACGAGGGAUGGCCAUUCAUGUGAUUGACUUGGAGAUGGGUUCAUGAUAUUAUUUAGUGAAUUUUAUGCGACUUGAGAUGUUUUAUUCGAGUUCGAUAAGUUAUCAUCAUGUCCGAUUUUGUGGCUGAUCUAUAAGUAGAGGUUUGUUGGUCCCAUUGUGGCUUGAAGUGAAUGUUAUAUCAUCUCUUCGGGGUUGUUUUUCCAUGUUUGGUUACGGGAUCUCGAUUAUAGUCGAAGGAAUAUAAUUUUUGUUGAUUUCAAGCUGAUUUUGCCCUAGUGACAGUUCUGAUCCGAAUUUAGUGUUAUAGGCUUUUGAGCUUCAGUUCAAUUUGAAAAAAGACACUUGAUCUAAUAGCAGGCUGAUUGGCUGGCAUGAUUUAUUCGGUGUCUUUGAAAGUUAUUAAAUAAAGAUUGAUGUCAUCCAUUGGUCGUCCAUGAGCAUGCAUUCCUUGGCUUCAUUUUGCUUACGCCUAGCAGCGUUUUACUUGGAUAGGAUCUCUUCUAUUUCUGUGCCAUUUGCCUCCCAAAUUAUAGGAGUGAUCUUGUGAUGCUAUGUUCUUGCCUUGGAAGUCUUGUUUUCACAGUAAGCGCUCCUCGUUGUGUUCUUCUUCUUCCGUACUCCCCUCGUAUUUGUUUCUUGUCUUGCAUGUCUCACGAGAGGAGAAGAAAGGGGAGAUAUAAGAAGAUAUUUGGCCAAUGCCGAUGGAGCUCCAAGACAUGGAGACUUACCUAGGCUUAGGUUGAGUCUCGACUUGAAGGCCGCCCCGGUCCGUGGUAGUCAAGAAUCUUCCGAGCUAGCUCAUCUUGAGAAUCUCUUGGAAUCAGAGACGCCUCACUCAUCCUCUUGCUCGCACCUCGAUAGAGCCCACCAAUCUAUAAGGACCUCACCGACGCGCCACAAGAUGCAUGCCACACGUCUCCUAGGACACCCUUUCCUUCGAGCACAGCCACUAUGAUCGACCUCACCAACACUAGGACCGAUCACUGAGAGAUUGCUGAGAGAUGAGGAACUAGUCGGCCAACCACAACCUCAAAGGGAGCUCGCUCAGACCCACUACAGAAAUCCAAUGCCGCGCUCGCUCAAACUCCGAGUGUGGUGGAAGACUGGCUUAAGGCUUUAUUUUACAAAAUUUACAUUGUACUUUGAUCGUUUUGAGUCAAUGUGAAUGGCGGCAUUAGUUUUGAAAAAACUCAUGCAUCGCAUGUAUCCUACUCAUUUACUGUUUUGUAUAACAGCUAACGUCCCACCAUGCAAGUGAGUGAAGACCUUCUUCGCAGGUAGACCAAUCACGACUUUCACGGCAAGGCAAGCCGUGACCCGAGGGCCGAUCCACCUUCAUUGGCAAAGCUACCUUCUCACUGACCCCGUGCAACUAAGCAUCAUCGCGUGAUCAAGAGCACACGUCUCUUCGCGCAACUGAGCACAUCCACCAGCACAACUGAGUGCGUCCUUCCGCGUCGUGCGAGUAUACCUCCACCUUACCCAUGCACAUACCUCCGGCGCUCGCACGACGCCUACCAGGCUAGUUCGAUCCCCUGCGCCUUUACGUUGAAAUUGCGAACAUAGUUUGCUCCUUCAUCGUUUCCCUUUUCCUAUUGCAGGAGAUAACCGACAAGAAGGCAAUCUGAAUUCUAAAAUCGAGACAGGAAACACUUCUCUGCUACCUCCUCGGAAUCCAAACACUGAGGACCGACCUUCCCUCCACGAAAGAUCACAAGCGACAGUUCCAACGAACAUAGCAUGUCCCAACCCACUCGCCACGGGGCUUGCAGCACGAUCACACUGCCGAUGGAAGAAUGAGCCCAACCUUCCCUCCACGAAAGAUCACAGGCGACAGCUCCAACGAACAUAGCAUGUCCCAGCCCACCGCCACGAGGCUUCCAGCAUGAUCACACUGCCGAUUGAAUAAUGGGCUCACCCCACCCUCCGCUAUGGUCAUCGACCUGCUACCGGGGCAACACACACUCUCAUUCAAAUGCUCUUUUACAUUUAUUCGCAUUUCCAAACAAGCUCUCGGCAUGAAUGAACCAUUCAAGGGGCACUUGAACAGUCUCAAAGACGCCCUAUUGGUUUUGUCGGACCUGUCCGAUUCGCAUGUCCCAAUGGGACUCGGCUCCUCGAGCUUUUCCUAGGACGGUUGCGCAGACCAACCCGCAAUCGGGGAAAGUACAACUAUGCGUUUCCCAAUCACAAUCUAAUCGCUCCAGCGUGGCGAUGACCGGACUCCCGAAAUUGAGUGUCCCCCACGCGCGGCACCCCAUGGGCCGCGCGCUGGAUGAGGGAACUUCCCAUGGGUCCACCUUACAUUUCUUACCACAUAUUUCACCGAAUAAUCACCUAAUACAUCAUCUUCUUUGUCAUCCUUCACAGGGGCACGCCAGCUACAAGCGAAGAGCGAUACACGGGUUCACAUCUCCACGAGAACUCCUAUCGGGUCUCUUCGACAGGAAAGAGGCUUGAUACGGAAGUACCCUUCUUUUAACGAAGCCGAAGACAAAAACGACUGAGUGAGCCACAUGUUGUCAACCCAACCAUCUUAGUCGAUAGCAAGCAUGGCCCCUGAAGCAAAACACGUAUGCCGACUUCAAGAGCGCCUAUCCUCAUAGAGGCACCCUCCACGGGAGCGAUAAGACACGGUCAGGAAUGACGUCCGACGCAGACCACGAAGACCGGGGCAUCCGCGUUCAACACUCAUGCAGGGGCAACCUCGGUCACCUGUACCCCAGGGCAAAUCUUAUUCUUAUUCUUAUAUGAUAAGGGAAAUCAUUUGUAAAGUUUGCAAGGACGAGCAACACGAAGUUCGGCUUCCGAA